CAUUAGUGAUUGGUCGAAAGACCUUAUCCCGUCCUCACACCUGUGCACCGUGGGCUUCGGCCCUACAAACGUAGUGUAUCGAACGUAUGCAUCUUAACAAACAAAACUUUCAACAACGGAUCUCUUGGCUCUCGCAUCGAUGAAGAACGCAGCGAAAUGCGAUAAGUAAUGUGAAUUGCAGAAUUCAGUGAAUCAUCGAAUCUUUGAACGCACCUUGCGCCUUUUGGUAUUCCGAAAGGCAUGCCUGUUUGAGUGUCAUGUAGACUCAACUCUCGAGAGGUUUCUUGCGAGUUGGAUUUGGGUGUUGCCAUUUGGCUCGCCUUAAAAGUGUUAGUGGUUUAAGCACUUGAUCGGACGUGAUAAGUUUCGUCCGGCCGUGUGUCGUCGACCGCUCCUAAACCGCCUUGCGGCGCUCUUUGACUCUGACCUCAAAUCAGGUAGGACUACCCGCUGAACUUAAGCAUAUCAAUAAGCGGAGGAAAAGAAACUAACAAGGAUUCCCUUAGUAACGGCGAGUGAACCGGGAAGAGCUCAAAUUUGAAAUCUGGCGUCCUCUGGGCGUCCGAGUUGUAACCUGUAGAAGCGUUUUCUGUGCCGGACCGUGUCCAAGUCCCUUGGAACAGGGUAUCAAAGAGGGUGACAAUCCCGUGCUUGACACGAUGACCGGUGCUAUGUGAUACGCUCUCCACGAGUCGAGUUGUUUGGGAAUGCAGCUCAAAAUGGGUGGUAAAUUCCAUCUAAAGCUAAAUAUUGGCGAGAGACCGAUAGCGAACAAGUACCGUGAGGGAAAGAUGAAAAGCACUUUGGAAAGAGAGUUAAACAGUACGUGAAAUUGUUGA
rnacentral:rRNA from 1 species